ACCCCUUCCCCUUCACCGGCGACGACGGCGAUGGCGUCCAUGGGCGGUGCGUCCCUGCACCUGAUCUACGCGUGGCUGCAGAAGCGUGGUGGGGACGGCCGCUUCGUCCCCAUGGGUGGCGCACCGCGGCGUCCAAACACCUGCCAUGCUCCCUCCUCGUCCCCAACAGGCGGUGGCGGCGGCGCUACUCCACCACUGUGCCGCAGCACCCGCCUCACCGCUCGCCCCUGCUCCCCAACAAGCGGCGGCGCCGGCGCCAAGAAGACGGCGGUGGGGACGGCGCCCCUCCUCCUCGCUAAGAAGAAGGCAGGCGGCCCUUCCCCCUCCUCCACGAGCGGCAUUUCACUACAAGAGAAACCUCCUGUUGAUACGUUUUAUUCAUAGCUUUGAUAUGUUUUAUUUCGUCUUUAAUGUAGUGUAGACGCACUUUGCUAAAGCGUGUCUGGAGCGUUUCCGCAUGGACCGUGUCAAGGACCGUAGGUGCUUGCAUUUCGAUUCAGGUGAUGUAGUGUUUCCGGCGGCCAAGCGGCCCAAGAAGAAGGCCGGCGGCGCUUCCCCCUCCUCCAAGCAGCUCAAGAAGAAGUCCGGCGGCGGUGAGGAACUUCUCACGGUGAGGAACUUCUCACGUACCCGUAGGGCUUCGAUGUUGCAGCCGUACGAGCGGCAGCGGCGGCGGCGGCGCUCAAGAAGAAGCUUGAAGCCGCGGCGGCGCUCAAGAAGAAGGCAAAAGCCUUACCGGCGACCUACAAGCCGCGCUUCACCAUCAUCGACCUGCCUGCAGCCCCUGAGCAGGAGGAGGAGGAGACGAAGCCCGACGUGAGCUCUCUACAGCCCCUGAACAAGAAGGAGAGGACCAGGAAGGAGGAUGACCUUCUGGGAGCUGCACAACGGUCCCAAUUAACAGGAUGACCUUUUGGGAGCUGCACAACGGUCUGGCAGCAUCAUAGAAGAGGCAGGCCGAACUUGAAGAGGAGCUUGCCAAAGAAUAUAAAAAGGGGAAGGCACUGAAGACUGCACUGGAGCUUGCAGCCAAAAGGGCAGAACCAAGAAUUUAGAGCUUCAUGUGCAGUUGAUGGUCAAAGAUUGAAGCUUCUUUUG